AGUGAACGCUGGCGGUAGGCCUAACACAUGCAAGUCGAACGGCAGCACAGUAAGAGCUUGCUCUUACGGGUGGCGAGUGGCGGACGGGUGAGGAAUACAUCGGAAUCUACUUUUUCGUGGGGGAUAACGUAGGGAAACUUACGCUAAUACCGCAUACGACCUACGGGUGAAAGCAGGGGAUCUUCUGACCUUGCGCGAUUGAAUGAGCCGAUGUCGGAUUAGCUAGUUGGCGGGGUAAAGGCCCACCAAGGCGACGAUCCGUAGCUGGUCUGAGAGGAUGAUCAGCCACACUGGAACUGAGACACGGUCCAGACUCCUACGGGAGGCAGCAGUGGGGAAUAUUGGACAAAGGGCGCAAGCCUGAUCCAGCCAUACCGCGUGGGCGAAGAAGGCCUUCGGGUUGUAAAGCCCUUUUGUUGGGAAAGAAAAGCAGCAGGUUAAUACCCCGCUGUUCUGACGGUACCCAAAGAAUAAGCACCGGCUAACUUCGUG
rnacentral:rRNA from 1 species